rnacentral:rRNA from 1 species
UACGAAGGGGGCGAGCGUUGUUCGGAAUUACUGGGCGUAAAGGGCGCGCAGGCGGUUUGUCGCGUCGGGAGUGAAAUCCAUUGGCUUAACUGGUGCUUGCUUUCGAUACGGGCAGACUGGAGGUAUGCAGGGGAGAACGGAAUUCCUGGUGUAGCGGUGAAAUGCGCAGAUAUCAGGAGGAACACCUGUGGCGAAAGCGGCGCACUGGACCACAACUGACGCUGAGGCGCGAAAGCUAGGGGAGCAAACAGG